rnacentral:rRNA from 1 species
CAGCCUGAUGCAGCCAUGCCGCGUGUAUGAAGAAGGCCUUCGGGUUGUAAAGUACUUUCAGUUGUGAGGAAGGGUGUGUAGUUAAUAGCUGCACAUCUUGACGUUAGCAACAGAAGAAGCACCGGCUAACUCCGUGCCAGCAGCCGCGGUAAU